CCGGCCCCAUCCCCUUUUUCCCUUUCAAUUUCCAGCAGAACCGACAACACCAACACAGCCCCUUGCCAGCGUCUUCCUCUUCCCCAGACGCAAACCCAAAAACGUCAAAGCGACAAGCAGUCCGAAAUGUCAACAAACAGCAGCUCUCACAGCUUUCUCUGCAACAAUCACCCACCCUGCUCCUCGUCCGGAUUUUAUGGGAUUUUGGACGAGAUCUCAUACCAAACCCAGCUGCUCCCUGAAAAAAGGAUUUUUUUUGAAUUUUUGAAACCAAGAGAGAAUUCCGUUUUGACCCUUGUUCCUAUCCGUUUUUCAUCCCAUCUUUCCCUAUAAAUUGCCCUAUACAUUCAGUGAUUAAAGGGGAGAGGGACAAAAAAAUUUUAAUUUGGAUUUGAGGUCAUACACGACAAAUAAGUUGGCAAAAGAGUUUUAGAGUUUAGUUCUCAGACAAUAAUCACUCAUACACUUGAAAACUUUACAUCUAGCUUUUUGAAUCUAAGUUAUGAGAGGAUUGACGCUUGGAUUUUCUUAGCUUGUUGUUCCUAUUCGAAGUUCGUGGUAAAAGAAUCGCUGGCCUCAAGCUUGUUGUCGUCCAGUUCUCUGCCCCAAAAAAGGUAAUACUAGUCUUUGAUUCACGCCUCUUUUGUGCCUAAUGUAAGGACGAUUUGCUUUUGAUAGUUGUGUAGUGUUAGAUGUUGGUAUCCUGGGAGUGUCAUGACUUACUGUUGGUUGCCAAACUUUGAUACAAGUUUGUUUGUUGAUUCAACUGUUCUCUUGGUUUGUUUUGCUCGAAGCUUUCUAAUUCCGUAUGGCAUUGAGUUGGUUUCGUUCUAUUUUCUUCUUGUUAUUCUAACUAGUAUAAAUCAUGUGAGUUGCUUUUA
rnacentral:lncRNA from 1 species